rnacentral:rRNA from 1 species
GACGAACGCUGGCGGCGUGCUUAACACAUGCAAGUCGAACGGAAAGGCCCUGCUUUUGUGGGGUGCUCGAGUGGCGAACGGGUGAGUAACACGUGAGUAACCUGCCCUUGACUUUGGGAUAACUUCAGGAAACUGGGGCUAAUACCGGAUAGGAGCUCCUGCUGCAUGGUGGGGGUUGGAAAGUUUCGGCGGGUGGGGAUGGACUCGCGGCUUAUCAGCUUGUUGGUGGGGUAGUGGCUUACCAAGGCUUUGACGGGUAGCCGGCCUGAGAGGGUGACCGGCCACAUUGGGACUGAGAUACGGCCCAGACUCCUACGGGAGGCAGCAGUGGGGAAUAUUGCACAAUGGGCGGGAGCCUGAUGCGGCAACGCCGCGUGCGGGAUGACGGCCUUCGGGUUGUAAACCGCUUUCGCCUGUGACGAAGCGUGAGUGACGGUAAUGGGUAAAGAAGCACCGGCUAACUACGUG